AGUGUAUAAUGAGCAGUGAGACGACUGGAGGUCACUUUCAUCGCCAUCUUGGUUUUGGUGGGUUUUGGACAGCUUCUUUACGCAUGCUGUUUUAUCAGCAAGGUCUUUGUGACCUGUAUCUUGUGCCGACCUCCUAUCUCAUCCUGUGACUAGGAAUGCCUUAACCUCCUGGAAUGCAGCUCAAUCACAGUCUGGAAGUCUGCUCACAGUCUCAAGGUUGGCAUAUCCCCUAGAGCCCCCAGACUCCUCAUCCCAUGGAGACCAACAUGGCCAGGGGAGGGCCAGAGCAGGGCCUUCUAAAUCACAGACCCCAGGGCAGGAGCCCCUCCGGUCUGGAUCUAAGGAUGGUAUUUUCAACAAUUCCUAAAUUUUUAUCCUAGGCUCUCCAAAUGGGAGUCUAAAGGUCUCAAAACAUGGUCCAGAAGAAGUAUGCAAAAAUGUAAAUUCCUAGGCCCCAACCCAGACCUAUGAAUCAGAUGAUCUGUAUGGGGGUUCAAGGAAUCUAUAUUAUUAAACAAUCUUCCUAAAUGACUUGUAUUCAUACUAAAGCUUGAGAAUUGCUAUCAAACAGCUAGAAGUUGGAGUGAAGGGUCCUGCCUUUCCCAUGAAAUUCAUCAACUCUAUGCCCUCAAAAGCUGGGCUCUUGGAUGAGCUGCUCUCCAUUCUAGAGACAUUACCAGCUAGGUAGCCUGCUGGUCCUCAGGAAGUUAAGCCCAGACUCUUCAGCACAGAAUCAGAUAAACACUGAUUACAUUGUACUCUACAGUUCUGAGAACACCAUUACUUAAUUCCCGGCAAGUUGCAAUGUAAUUGAGUAGGUUGUAGUUUUUUGGGUUUGGGGUUUUUUUGUUUUUUAAAUAUAUCAGGCGUAGUUAGCCAGCUUCCUAGAAACACCAUGAUCUCUUGGUGAAAAUUCCAGAAAUAUGCAUCACUUCCUAAUUAAAGUAGGGAAUUUUUAAAAAUUAUUAAACCACAUGCUUUCUAAUUCCUAUUGCCCUUUCUUUUCACCCACCAUUCAGCAGUCAGCAGACACUUUCUGGGUACAACAGGGUAGGACCAUCCAGGCAGAACAAAAGCCAUUGAUCAUGAACUACAGAGGAGAGUUUGGUAAAUGGACACCAGAAACCAUGGCCUACAGGGGCCUGGUUUUCUCCCAUCUAAAUACUAACUAGGCCCAACGCUAGUUGGGCUUAGCUUCCUAGAUCAGAUGAAAUUGGGCACAUUUAGGGUUGGGGGUAUGGCUCUCUAUUGUAAGUAGCAAGAGUUUGAGAGAAGAAAAAAGGGAUUUUCUUUUUUUUUUCUUUUAAAUUUUAGAGCAUUAACUUUAAACAUCAAGAUCCAAACCCCAAGGAUUCAGAGAAUCUUGUACUAUAAACCAUUUGUAUUAGUCAGGGUUCUCCAGAGAAACAGAACCCAUAGGAGGUAUAGAGAUAGAGAAAUAUGGAAUUGGCUCCCAUGAUUAUGGAGGCUGAGAAGUCCCUCAAUCUGCUGUCUGUGAGCUGGAGACCUAGGAAAGCUUAGCUGGUGGUACAAACCAGCCCAAGUGCAAAGGCCCAAGAACUAAGAGCACCAUUGUCAGAGAGCAGGAAAAGACAGAUGUCCCAGCUCAAAAAGAGAGAGCAAAUUCACCUUCCUUCCACCAUUUUAUUCCGUCCUGUUCCAUUCCUCAACAGGUUGGAUGAUGAGGGAGAUCUUUAUCCAUCUCAAGUUUUUUGUGCAAAUAUGGAAUACAAAUGAAAAAUACUUAAAGCACAUCAUCAUUGAUUUCCAACUUAGACUAGUUUAACUUCCCUUUUUCUUCUAUCCUGUCAGUUCCUUGAGGGAUCCUCUCUCCUUGUUCAUCUCUGCAUCUCUAGUAAUUAGCACAGUGCCAGGCACAUGGUAAUAUGGCUAAAACAGUGGAUUAUUGGUCUCCAACAUAAUUAAGCCCAUCCAAAAGAAAAACCAACCUCAUAAAUCUGCUUUGCAAAGUUCAUAAACAAUGGAUAUGCUAUGUCUCAAAGGUGCUGGCCAAAAAAAUUUAAGAACUUGGGAAUUAUGUGUUAUUUUGUUUGUUUUUUUCACCAAGCCUACUUUUCUGUCACAAGAGCCCAUAUCAACAACACACCCAUGUAUGUCCUUCUUUUUAUCUACUUUUCUCCAUGAAGUUUGUCACCAUCAACUGUUAAAACUGUAAAGAUUUGAUCAGCUAAAUAAGUGGUCUUUGAACUAAUUCCUCUCGUACUUCCUAAAGGAACUUUGAAAAACUAUGUAUCCCCUUGCACAUUUUCAAGCAGACACCUAAGAUUUUUCAUCAUAAAUUUGAAUAACUUCAAAAUAUGUACUUAUUAGCAUAUUGUAAAUAUUGAUUUUUAAAUAAAAUAUAUCACACUUUGUAUCCAAUGAACUCUAAACACCAUAGCAAUUUGACACUUACUCUCCCACCCUCAGUCUUAAAAAUUCACCAACAACCUCUUUUUUAACAACCGAAAAAUUUGUAUUAUUCCUUUUUAAAAUUUUGAAGUUUUCUGGAUUGAAUUAUUUUUAUAAUGAUUUUUAGUAUACAACUGACCAAAGCAACAUAAAUAUAUAGCAUAUUUUGAUAAAUAAUUAUAAAACAUAGCAAGUUAUGUGUUAUUGGAAAAUUAAACUAAAUGAAUGGAUCUUUUUAAAUUAGUUCGGGUAUCUGUGGCUGUUCCUAACUGUUAAAAUGAGACAGAGUCAGCGUCAAUUCUACUCUUAUUUUUUAUUUUUUUAGACGUAAGCCCUGAGAAAACUUGUUCAAUUAAAUAAGUAAUGAGAAUGUUAGGCAUUUUCUGAUAAAAAUGUCACUCUGUUAUUUGAAUGCCUUCUUGAUUAUAAGUCAAAAAGUACAUAGUGAUCUAUUAUCAAAAACUAUUGGCCUAUCUGUUGACAACUUGGGUAGGUCCUCCUUUAAUUUUAUUGAAAGCAAAGAAUUGGAAACUACCUAAUUUACAAAAAAAAGAAGAAGAAGAAGAAGAAGAAGAAAUGUGUUACCUAAUUAUUAGAGCUCACUUUCUAAGUUUCUAGGAAGUAUGACCCAAAAAAGCUUGGCCAAGACUUAUCACAUGGCUGUUGAUUAUACCAUCACCCUUUUACUUACAGGCGUCUUGCUUAUGGACCUAAAAAAGAUGAAACUGGAGUUAGAAACAAAAACAGAAAAUUGUAAAUUGUGCAUUUGGGGACUUUUCUCCUUGACUGUGAACAGAGACCUAUAUACAAUGCCAAAUUUCAUUUUUUAAGAAUGUCUCAAAAUGCAGAGUAAAGAAAUGACAGAAGGACAGACACUUGGGGAUAUUCAUGUAUAUACUAAUAACUUCUUCCCAAAUAUGACUGAAGACAAUACACUUAGCAGAACUGAAAUCAAUAUAUUAACAUCUGAAAGGGAGAAAUUAAUCCUAAUUCAAUCAAGCCAGUUUUCUAAAGUUCAGGUCAUUGCAUAUUAGAUUUACAUUUUGGAAAAAUUUUUUUUGCUUUUGAACCAAUAGAUUUCUGCUUUUGACAGUAUAGUUUAAAUACUUUAUGUAAGUUGACAGCAAGAGAAAGAACUUAGUCACCAAUAAGUAUAGUACAAGAUUAUGGAAAGCACAUUAAGGACCUCUAAGCACAUUAGUUAGAGUAUAAUCUGCAAUAUAUUCCUGUUAAAUUACUUAAUGCUAAUUCUGUGGACUGAAUUUCAUUCCCCCAAAAUUUAUAUUUUGAAGGCUUAACCCUUAAUGUGACUAUAUUUGGAAAUAGUGCCUGUGAAGAGGUGAUAAAGGUUAAAUGAGGUCACAGGCUGGGGUCCUACUUCACUAGGACUGGUGUCCUUUAAAGAAGAGGACAAGAUGCCAGAUGCUCUCGUUCAUGUGCCCCCUUUCUCUCUCUCUCUCUCUCGCUGGUUCACUCUCUCUCUCUCUCCUCCUGCCCCCCAUGUGAGGAUAUAAGGAGAAGGCAGCCAUCUGCCAGCCAGGAAGAGAGCCCACACCAGAACUUGACCAUGCUGACACCCUAAUCUUGGAUUUCUAGCCUCCAGAGUUAUGAGAAAAUAAAUUUCUGUUAUUUAAACCACCUGGUGCAUGGUAUUUUGUUAUGGCAACACAAGCUGACUUAUAUACCUAAUAACUACAUGGCAGGAAUUAAUACAUGAACGGGAAAGUUGUUCAUGAGUGACAGUGAGCAGGAGACCUGUACCUUCAUCAGAAAUGAAUAUAGAUUUCAUAUUUUGCUAACUUUUAGCAAAAAUUAAUGAAAGUGUUUCUCCUAUAAAUCUGAGUAAAUAUUUAAGAAAAUACAAAAUACUAACUUACCUCUAAUAUGUGUUUCUUUUGUUAGAAAAUGUAGCCUUGAUAUGUUGGAAGAAACUGUAGUCUUUUCACCUUGAAGUUAUGCAAAUUACACUCCUGAG
rnacentral:lncRNA from 1 species